UUGGAAUAUCAGUGUGAAACCACUGUUGUCGUGGCGCAGUUGAGUACAACACCAUGUUCGAUGAGAAGUUUUGCAGUGAUAAACAUUCUUUUUUUCUUCGAACACUCUUGCUUGUACUGCUGUGAAUGUUCUUGUACUGUAGCAGGAUUACGGUACCUGCUCCCUAAAGAGUUGGAGAAUGUCUUAAUGAAUUGUUUCCAAACAAGUGGAUUGAGUGUGGAUCAGAGGCAGCUUAGACUCACCCCACUUAGCCACCAAGAAGCCCUGACUUGCCCACUCUAGAUAACUCUUUGUGGGGGUUUCAUUAAAGAUAAAAUCAGACAAUAGCAUUAUUGAACAAUGGCCAAACUGCAGGCUGCUAUGACAGAAGCAUUCAGAAGUAUCACAGAAGAUUUUCUCUGCAAAACUUCUCACUGAACAUGAUGUCGUGUUCAAUUGUGUUAUGAUAACAGUGGUGCACAUGCUGAUAUUCUAGAUGCGUAGUGUUCAAU
rnacentral:lncRNA from 1 species